rnacentral:lncRNA from 1 species
CUUAGUAAUUAAAACUUUGUGUGCUUUUGAAAUUCUUGGCACUUAUGCAUUUGAAAUUAGAUUUUAUAAAACAAUAAAAUAAAUUCUUUGGGUAGAGACAGCAGUUUGUGGGUACCUGAGUCGGAAACCCUCACGAGACAAAACUCGUUCACUAGGGCUACCUAGGGGUUUAAAGCCUUAUUGCAUACGGUAAAUGCAAUCGCGAUUCCUGCGAAAGUGAGUUAGUUUUUUUUAUUUUGCUCGAGAACUAGCAAAAUAUAGGUUGGGGGGUGUGAUAAGUGCUAAAUAAUGUAUAAA